GAGGGUUGUCACCUUUACUGGAACACCAUCUUUGACCAUAAGAAUAGGAGGAGAGCAUAAAGAGAUAUUCCCCUGCGGUUAGCAUCUUCCGCAUAUGCCAGCAACAGCUUGUUGGAUCCAGUUUUGAGCAGCUCAGGGAAGCUGACGUGCUACAGGGACAGCUGCUUUUUGAAUGUCAGCCUCAAGCUCCUUCCCCUUCUGGAGCACUGGGACAUUGCAUAGACGAAACAGUUACUAUUCAGGCUGGGAUACAAGUAAUCCUUCUCCUCCUCCCAUCCUGACCUAGACCACGCUAGCUGUGUCUGGACAGGUAUUCUUGAGGGUAAUUCCCCACUUUCCUGCAGAUGGGAAGGAUUGUAUUUAUUACAAUUUAUGUUCUCUCUUUGUAGUUCAAUAAACAUGAGUAAAUAAUACAGAUUAUGGCACUUCA